rnacentral:rRNA from 1 species
UGAUCUAUCCAUGAGCAGGUUGAAGCUGGUGUAAGAGCCAGUGGAGGACCGAACCGGUGUGCGUUGAAAAGUGCUCGGAUGACCUGUGGAUAGGGGUGAAAGGCCAAUCAAACUUAGUGAUAGCUGGUUCUCUCCGAAAUAUAUUUAGGUAUAGCGUCAUGUUAUUAGCAUAUAGGGGUAGAGCACUGACUGGGCUAGGGCUGCUUACCGCGGUACCAAACCCUAUCAAACUUCGAAUACUAUAUAAUUUACCACGGCAGUCAGGCGUAGGGUGAUAAAAUCAUAUGUCAAGAGGGAAACAACCCAGACUACCAGCUAAGGUCCCAAAGUUAACAUUAAGUGGAAAACGAUGUGAAGUUACUGUGACAACCAGGAGGUUGGCUUAGAAGCAGCCACCCUUUAAAGAAAGCGUAACAGCUCACUGGUCUAGCGAUUUUGCGCCGAAAAUAUAACGGGGCUAAGACAAGCACCGAAGCUCUAGAUUCAUAGUUUACUAUGAGUGGUAGGAGAGCGUUCCAUUCAGCGUUGAAGGUAUACCGGUAAGGAGUACUGGAGCGGAUGGAAGUGAGCAUGCAGGCAUGAGUAGCGAGAAAAGAAGUGAGAAUCUUCUUCGCCGUAAACCCAAGGUUUCCUACGCGAUGCUCGUCAUCGUAGGGUUAGUCGGGACCUAAGUCGAGUCCGAAAGGGGUAGACGAUGGCAAAUCGGUUAAUAUUCCGAUACCGACAUUACAUCAUUUGAGUGAUGGGGGGACGCAUAGAGUUAGACGAGGUCACUGAUGGAAUAGUGGCUCGAAGGACGUAGGUCGUGAAGUAGGCAAAUCCGCUUCACACGAGACCGAGAUCUUACAGGCAGAGCAAUUACUUCGGUAAGCGCUUUGAAUCGUCGAUACUGUCGUGCCGAGAAAAGCCUCUAAACGAGAUGUAAUGUUGCCCGUACCGUAAACCAACACAGGUGGGUGAGAUGAGUAUUCUAAGGCGCGUGGAUGAACCAUUGUUAAGGAACUCUGCAAACUAGCACCGUAUCUUCGGUAUAAGGUGUGCCCUAUUUGUUAGGAGAUUUACUCUUCAAAGCAAUGACGGGUCGCAGCAAAGUGUCCCUCCCGACUGUUUACCAAAAACACAGCACUCUGCUAACUCGUAAGAGGAUGUAUAGGGUGUGACGCCUGCCCGGUGCUUGAAUGUUAAAAGGAUUGCUUAGCUUUGCGAAGGCAUGAAUUGAAGCACAAGUAAACGGCGGCCGUAACUAUAACGGUCCUAAGGUAGCGAAAUUCCUUGUCGGUU